AGCAGUAGCCGCGGGAAUACGUAGGUGGCAAGCGUUGUCCGGAAUUAUUGGGCGUAAAGGGCUCGCAGGCGGUUUCUUAAGUCCGAUGUGAAAGCCCCCGGCUCAACCGGGGAGGGUCAUUGGAAACUGGGAAACUUGAGUGCAGAAGAGGAGAGUGGAAUUCCACGUGUAGCGGUGAAAUGCGUAGAGAUGUGGAGGAACACCAGUGGCGAAGGCGACUCUCUGGUCUGUAACUGACGCUGAGGAGCGAAAGCGUGGGGAGCGAACAGGAUUAGAUACCCCUGUAGUCCCUGUCUCUUAUAC
rnacentral:rRNA from 1 species